rnacentral:rRNA from 1 species
UCCUACGGGAGGCUGCAGUGGGGAAUAUUGCACAAUGGGGGAAACCCUGAUGCAGCAACGCCGCGUGAGUGAUGAAGGCCUUCGGGUUGUAAAGCUCUGUCUUUGGGGACGAUAAUGACGGUACCCAAGGAGGAAGCCACGGCUAACUACGUGCCAGCAGCCGCGGUAAUACGUAGGUGGCAAGCGUUGUCCGGAUUUACUGGGCGUAAAGGAUGCGUAGGCGGAUAUUUAAGUGAGAUGUGAAAUACCCGGGCUCAACUUGGGUGCUGCAUUUCAAACUGGAUAUCUAGAGUGCAGGAGAGGAAAGUGGAAUUCCUAGUGUAGCGGUGAAAUGCGUAGAGAUUAGGAAGAACAUCAGUGGCGAAGGCGACUUUCUGGACUGUAACUGACGCUGAGGCAUGAAAGCGUGGGGAGCAAACAGGAUUAGAUACCCUAGUAGUCCCU